GCCGGGCGCGGUGGCUCAAACCUGUAAUCCCAGCACUUUGGGAGGCCGAGACGGGCAGAUCACGAGGUCAGGAGAUCGAGACCAUCCUGGCUAACACGGUGAAACCCCGUCUCUACUAAAAAUACAAAAAAAUUAGCAGCUAAUUUUUUUGUAUUUUUAGUAGAGACGGGGUUUCACCGUGUUAGCCAGGAUGGUCUCGAUCUCCUGACCUCGUGAUCUGCCCGUCUCGG
rnacentral:SRP_RNA from 1 species